AUACGGAGGGUGCAAGCGUUAUCCGGAAUCACUGGGCGUAAAGGGAGCGUAGGCGGUUUGACAAGCCAGAGGUGAAAGGCAAUAGCUUAACUAUUGUAAGCCUUUGGAACUGUCGAACUUGAGUGCAGGAGAGGAAAGUGGAAUUCCUAGUGUAGCGGUGAAAUGCGUAGAUAUUAGGAGGAACACCAGUGGCGAAGGCGACUUUCUGGACUGUAACUGACACUGAGGCACGAAAGCGUGGGUAGC
rnacentral:rRNA from 1 species